rnacentral:lncRNA from 1 species
CGUGAGUACUUUUUGUGUGGUAUUGACAAUAAUCAAUAUAUUAAUUCGAGUUAUUAAAGAGAAUAAGCAUAACAUCUUUUAGAUAGCAUUUUUCUAAGUUGAUACAUUACUCUUUUUAUGUAUACGCAUACAUAUGGUUGGAGCUUUGCUAGGGUUUGUUCCAAGCUUCUUGGAGAUCUAGAAGUAAUCUAGACAUGAGUUCUUUCAUCCCUUGGAGCUUUCUGGGAGAGCUAGACAAUGCCCUUGCAAAAGUAGCUCCUUCAAAUCCUUCCUCCGCGAGGAAAUCAUUUGCACAGGUUCUACAAAAUUCAUGUGAUAUUAUUGUGAUUUUGUAGUUGCCUCAGCCUUGCAUCAAAGGGGAUGCAAUAGCAAUAAAAAUUCCGAAAGAUGACUACCAAGCAGGGCUGCAGAGGUGUAAAAAAUCACUUUCAUGGCAAACUCAUCUUAGCAAAGGGAGAUAAUCCCAUCAAAUUUCUAGAUCUGAAAGGCAAACUCUCAUCUUUGUGGUCAACGAUAGGGAACUAGAAUAUGGUAUCUUUGGAGAAAGGAUAUUAUGAUUUUUCUUUCUCCAUGAUGGAAGACAUGAGAAGCGUAUGCUCAGUUGGAGCAUGAAGCCUGAAACCUGGAUUCCUUAGGAUGUUUCAAUGGACCCAAUAUUUUAAUUCAAACCACCAAAGACAAACUCAUUCUCAAUGCUGGGUCAAAAUUCUUGAGGCCUUCCUCAGGAACAUUGGAGCCAGAUAAUAUUACUAGGAUUCCCCCUAGAUUGCCUUUAGAUGAAUUCAAGGCGUUCUGUGAUUGCACUAAUUUAAUCCAUUUAGUUACUAGAGGCAACCUUUUCACUUGGUCCAACAAGAGAAGAUGUCAAGCUCUUAGUGAAAAGAGACUUGAUAAGAGUAUUGUAAUGAAAAGUGGCUUAAUUAUUGGAAUCAAAUCACUUGUUGCACUCUGACAAAAAUUUCCUCAGAUCACCAUCCUAUAAUUCUUUGUUCUACUGCAACAAAUAAGCUUACAGCUAUCCUUUUUAGAUUUCAUAAAAUGUGAAUUGAUUUUAUAGGGACCAUUUUCAUAAGAUUAGUCUAAACUGUCCAAAAUACAUUGUAACUAUCGUUUCAGUUCAUCAAAUUGAAAAGUUCCCAACAGAGACUAUCCUUGAAAUAGUUGCAGUAUUUCACAUGUGAUUCUUUCAGAUUUUCCAUUGUGUUUUACUAAUUUUAAGGUCAUUAUCAAAGUAAAAAUAUCAUACUUUAAAGAGAGCAAAAUACACUAUAGAUAUCUAAAAUACACUUCAAAACGAAAAGUCCAGAAAAUAAACUCAUAUUUAAUUUUCGUAAACAUUCAUAUCCAUAAAAUAUCACAAAGAUAUUAUGUUUCCGAUUUAGUAUGAUUUUGUGGUGAUUUUCCACGAAAAUGAAAGAAUAAAGAAGGAAAUACAAAAAAUAAACCUUUUUUUAUAGACAUACUAUCAUAUUUUUAGGAUACUGAAACUCUUAAGUCUAAAGUUCCAGAACCUGAAUAGCUUCUUUCAUUUUUCUGAAAAUCUAUUGCCCAAUAAAAGCAUAAAAAACACAUCAAAAUCACUUCUACUUGCUUCCCUAUUUAGAUCCAACUUUCUCACCACCAAAAGUGAGUUCUUUUUCCAGAACUAAAAAUCAUGAGGAAAACUUAACAUUUAUCUUAACUACUAAAUCAUUUUAAGGUGAUUUUUGAAACUUUUAAGUAUUAAAUAUAAGUUCUUAAGCUUCCAAAAGCCACUUAAGCUUGUCCCCAUGUUCCACUCUCUUUGUCAACAUCAAAAGGUGACUUAUAGAAGGAUUACAACCAUGAGGUUUUCAUAAGUAUUUCACCUUUUAAAACAAAGGAUGUGUUCUUGGAUCAUAAAUCAUAAAAUUUGAGAAAUAUACAUAAAACAAAUAUUAAAAGGGAUGAAUAAGAAAUAAAAUGAGUUAAAAGUCCCAAAUAAGUAGUUACCUAGUGCAAGAGCAAGACUUUGAAGAGUUUUUGUAUAGGUUGGAGUUGCAAAACUCCUUCCCUCACUACUCCAAGGGCCACACGGUUUUGGGAUGAAGAAGAGAGGGAUGAAAACUUUUUUCACCUCUUUAG